rnacentral:piRNA from 1 species
UCGGAUGUGUAGAGUGCUGAGUUAGG